rnacentral:rRNA from 1 species
AUUGAACGCUGGCGGCAUGCCUUACACAUGCAAGUCGAACGGCAGCACGGGAGCAAUCCUGGUGGCGAGUGGCGAACGGGUGAGUAAUAUAUCGGAACGUGCCCAGUCGUGGGGAUAACGUAGCGAAAGCUACGCUAAUACCGCAUACGAUCUAUGGAUGAAAGCGGGGGAUCGCAAGACCUCGCGCGAUUGGAGCGGCCGAUAUCAGAUUAGGUAGUUGGUGAGGUAAAGGCUCACCAAGCCGACGAUCUGUAGCUGGUCUGAGAGGACGACCAGCCACACUGGGACUGAGACACGGCCCAGACUCCUACGGGAGGGCAGCAGUGGGGGAAUUUUUGGACAAUGGGCGCAAGCCUGAUCCAGCAAUGCCGCGUGCAGGAUGAAGGCCU